GGGGACAUACAGUACCUCACCACCCGACCCUCCUGAAGCUGGUGUUUGGAAGACCCCUGCUGCUGCUGAUUCUGGUUCCUCCCGAAAACCUGCUGGUGAUUGAUGGGAAGCCACCAAAACACAUUGUCACGUCAUGAGGAGCAGAGGACAGCCUGGGACUCUCAUUUCUCCUUCUCUUUGGGGGGUGAAGAGUUGACAGAACUAAAUGGACAUGCCACAAGCACUGGAGGCUGGGGACAUGGAAGAGCAGAAGCCCCUAGCAGCGUUUGGGAUGCUGAAAGAGUGCUGCGCAGGGACAUACAUCUGGAUAUCAAGGCCUUUGUUUAUAAGAGUGAUUGCUUUGCCAUGUCUCCUCGAGGACCUGGCUGAGCAUCCAAAGAGGAUACAUUUGCUGUCACCUUUAGCAGAUGUGGACUGGCCUGUACUCUGCUGUGGUGCUCUGGGUACCUGCAUGUGGUGUCCCAUCACCAGCACUUCUUCCUCUUGGGGGUCUUGCUGCCCACAUAUCCGGCAGCUUCACUUUUCUUUGCCUAUUCCUCUCAUCCUCUACUUGGACACUGUAAGAGAACUGUGCAGGGACAAUUCUUAGUCAGGCUAAGGGGUUUGCUUCAGCUGUGGUACUUGGGUCCUCCCCUCCUUCAUCCUUUCCAUGGCCAGCGGGUGUGGAGGCAGGCCCCACAAUGUGGGCUGUGCUCCCUGACCCCGAGGGCCGGCACUGGCAGUUCAGGGACACCACCAGCAGGGCUAACCUUGGCCUAUAGUACAGCUCCCCUGCAUCUCUGAGGCUUACUAGACAAGGAGGUCCCUUGGCCUGCAGGUCCGCUUGCACAAACAUCAAUGAGAGAACAAGCACUACAUCAGGCUGUGUUCAUUCUAAAUCUUGGGGGUUGCUGGCCCCUGCCCAGGGGACACCCAUAUCUGCAGGCUGGUCUGGCUGAGAGCAGCCCUGGUUUGUCUGAGCACCGAGGGACUGUGCAAUGGCGUUAAUUAUUUUUCCAUCCUCUCAUCUCCACCAGGAAAGCAAAGGGGUUAGUACUGCUGUUUGGUGGCUCUGCCAGGAGGGAAAACACUCAGCUGAAGCCAUCUCCCGUGGCUCCCCUGCAGGCACAGGGGCGCAGCUGGAGCAUUUUGUGCUGUUUUGUGCUCUGGGCUGAGCGUCAGUUGCAGCCAAGCAAGCAGCUGAACAGGGUGGAGGCAAAUGCAGAAACUGCAGAGCUGCUCUAGGUGUGUGUGGAAGCCCUAGGAGAGGGGUUAAAUAUUGUUUCCCAUUCUCUGCAGCUCUGUCUGAGGGUGAAGCUGGGGUCCUGGGCUUGCAGGGGAAGCAGCUGCUGGCCAGACACCUGUGCUGGAUAUUGCAUCCUUUCCCAUCUGCUCCUUGCCUGCUCUCAGCAGUUUCUGUGCGUGCCCACCAGAGAGCAUCCCUGGCACAGGGCUGCUGUCUCCAGAGACAGAGCUGGGGAUGAUAGGGCUGGGUGUGAGACCAAAGCCACUUUCCUUUACCCUUUCCAGUCCUGUCACCUCCCCAAACCUGAGCUGGGUGAAGGUUAUCACCCCACUGUGUGUCCUGGGCAAGGGAAGCAUCCCACUGGCAGGAGGAUGUGCCACUGCGAGAGCCUGGCUCUCCUGCAGCAAGCACACCGUGUCUGCAGGGGAGGACGGUGCUGGGGGUUAGCAGGGAGGGUCUGCCCAACACACACGGAGCAAGUGGGGGUUCAGGCAGAGCCUAAACGUCCAAAAUUCAGAUUGGUAAAGGUCCAGUGCUUAAUGGCAGUCUCCUGAGGAAGUGCACAGACAAAUCUUUUACUUUUUGACGAUCAUUCAUCUCAAUGAGUUUAUUUGCUCGAAUAUGGAAUCGGGUGCCCUGGCAUGAUCUUGUGUGUGAGAUAAAUAUCUAGUGCUUGGUGUAUGGGGAAGGCAGAAACAUGUGCUUUCCGUGCACCUGCAGCCUUUGCAAGCAUCACCUAAACUUCAGCGCAGGCCUGAAGUCUCAGGGUGGGCAGAAAGGUUGGGGCUUAGCAUUGCACAGCUGAACCCCACCUCUAAGUAUCUCGCCUCGGCUCUCGCCCUCAGGAGGCAGAGAUGGGCAGGAGCUCUCUCUGUCCCCGUGUGCUGUGCUUGGCUGGACAAAUUCCUGCAGGUAGCUGUGGGUCAGAGGGACGUGGCCCUGCUGAACUGCAGCCCCAGCACUUGUAAGAUGGGCCUUGAAGGAAAGCUGAGGAAUGAACCAACUUGGCUAUUUUUAUCCUUGCGCAAGCCCAGGGAUUUCAAUUGACAGGAUUAGUUAUGAAGCCAAUAUUAUGAGUUUAACUAUGAGUGAAAUAACACAACUUUGUGGGAAGCGGAGUAAAAGAGGCAAUUAUGCAGUAGUUUAAUAACAGCGCUCUGCUGGCUGGGAAGCUGAAAACUUACAGUUGACAGUAAUUAGAUUUUUUUCAUUCUUCCUGUUAAAUAGCUACAAAAAUUACAAUAGAAAUUAAUCUGAUUCACUCCUAUUCCAUGCUGUUCUCAUCAUCCAGUCCGUGCCCACUUGGCUUUCAGGUUAUUUUUGUUCUGUGUUUUUCUAGUCUUUGGUAUUUUAGAAGUGCAGAAACAGUACUUAAUGUUGAAAAUAUGGAAAGCAACGUAAAAAAGGAGGCUGGGGGAGUGGGCAGUAACCCCAUCAGAAAUGCAGGAGGUGUUUGGAUGGGCAGUGAGGGCUUUCCAAAGGGAGUUGCCAGGAUUAGCAGCCAGACUUCUAAGCAUCCAUGCUUAGAGGGGUGGGAGAUGUCUGGCGAAGACCUGGGCUCAGACUAGUUUGGGCAAGGUCCUGGGUGGUCUCUAGGGUCUGCAGGGCCUCUUCUCUCCCCAAUCUUUGCUGCAGUGUGUGGUAGCAUCUCAUCCCCCUGCUGCCUCCAUCCCAAGUGAUGCUCACCUGUCAGCUGCCCUGUUUUUGAGCACUGUCCUCUUCUUUUUCAUGUAUAGGCACGGCAUGAGAAAAAACUUAAUGCUAAAACCUUGAAUUACUUUAGCAACUGUGUACUUCCAAAAUUGCAGGGUGGAACUUGAUGAGCCAGCAAAUGUGUGACAUUUCGGCUGCUUAUGAUUGUAACUUGAAAGUGCUAUGCAGCACGAAGGAAAGAGCUCUAAGGUUUGCUGUCAUCGUUGAAAGCUCAGGAUGGGAUAUUUGCUUGGAGGCUAAAAGUAUUCUUCCUCAUGCUUUCAUUUCUUUUAUAAUGCAAAAGAGCCUGCUAUGAUUAAUGACAUCCUGGUCCUGAUGUUGUGAAGUGACACGGGAUUGAACGUGGGGUUGGCUCUGAUGCCUGGCAGGAUCUCUGACACAUGUAAUAAAUAUUUUCUGCAGCAGCACACCCAACCUCACAGCUGAGCAUCUCAUUUCUUUUCCUCUGCUGUGGCGGGAGCAGCACAGUUCAGCUUCACACUUGUGUUAUAGCUUUAAAACACUCUGGAGAUGCCCAGAUCCAUUAGAGGGGCAAAGGCCACCUCCAGGUAUGUUGCAAACCCAUUUGCUUUUGCUUCUCCGCAGAAAUACACUGUGCUUUUGGCAGAUGCAAAUGUUCCAGAUGGUAUUGUGAAAAGUGGAAAUUAGAGAUUUUAUUCCAGCCCAUCUUCUCUUUAAUGAAUCCUGUCCAGCUCUCUAGUAGAGCUGUUUUUAAGGUGUAUUUAAAAUGCAUGCCAUCUUUCUGCUACCCCUAAAUCUGCAUCAGCUCAUCCCUCUCACUGGGCAGAGCACUGCUGGGCACUGCGGCCUGCCAUCCAACCUGUGUGCCUUCCAGCACGUUGUUCUGCUCGGACAGCCUGCAAAGGUUGGAUACGAUCCAUCCAUCAGGGUGUCCAGCUGUCCCGGUGCUGGGGCCAGGUGCCAGUUUGGGGACCUCACAGUAGACUGGGUGGACGAGGUGAUGAGUGGUUCGUGGGGCUGCCAAGGUAUGCAAGGUCUUCUUGCAAAGCCAUGGUGGAAGGGCUGGGAGGCUAAAAGGAGUCGUCCUCUGGGUUGUCCCUACCUGGACCUGGAUUUGGUUGGUGAGGUAGGGAGGGGAGAGCUGUCAUCUCCUCCAUUAGCUCCAUCUGGAAUGGCAUGUGUGCUCCUGGCUGUGCGUUGUGCUGAUGCUCACACGGUGCCCCAGUCACCACCCUGCAUUAGCUUAUUCCAGCAUAUUUGUGUUACAAAAUUAGAUCCAUUUUGCAAAUUGCUGCUGCGCUAGUAAUUGAAUUGAAGGGUGGUGUGUUUUUUUUCCAGUUUUUGUUGUUUCCACUUUUUUUUUUUCCACUGGAGUAAAUCAGGAAUAAGUCACAGAAUCAAGCCCUCCGUGCUUUCAGCAACAUGCUCAUUUAAAUUGGAUGCAAGAGGGUGUCUGUGUUUACAUUUGGCCUGCCAAGAAUCUCUGUUUCAGAAACUGGCUUACAUAAUAUGUCAAAAUUGGUUUACUCAUUAGCAUUGCAAACAGCGUGAAACAAGGCGCAGAUUGAUAAACUUGCAGCAAUAUUUGCAUCCAGAGCUGGGUGGCGCAGGGGGAGGGGAGGUUCAUUAGGAAACGUUCCAUUUCCAUGGGAAAAACAAACGGCUUCCAGUUAGAUCUCAGACUUUUUUAAUUUUCUGCCUUCCCAAACUUAAAUAGAGAUUGAGAGGGAAAUGUGAAAAAUCUCUGUUGGCAAACGGGCAGCCCUUGUGAGUGUUUCCUGGGCUGACGGGUUAUCUGCAGCGGCUGCUUCAGGAAUGUUUUCAGUACAGCACAGCUGGAAUGGAGGCUCUGAUAGUGCUAAUUAGGUCCUGUAAAUGUGGCAUGGGCACUGAUCUAGCUGCCUGCUCCUGCUUUAGCCUAGCCAGGCAGGUAAGAUGCAGCCUCAGACAGAGCUGAGGACCGUGGUGCCCGAUGCUGAAAACCUUCCGGCUCAGGUCCUGCGUGGUGGGAUGUGUGAAACAGGGCUGCUGGGGUGAUAAGAGCAAAUGUACUAAGAACAAAGCAGCACAGCAGUAAGAGGGUCUAAGUGUACACUGUGCUUUUGGGCUCCCUCCUUGCCCUUCCCAUCACAGCACGUGGGCUUUAGGCACUGUGCACUGGGCUGGGGGAUGUAAGGGGAGAUGGCAAAGUGCAGUGGGCAGUCAGGAGAAGAGCAGCCCCAUCUCACGCUGUUCUCCUGAGGGUGCCUCCCAAGUCUGCUUCUGGUCAGGAACCUUCUGCAGGCAGGGGCUGAGGCUCUUUAGACCCUGCAGUGGUGCAGCAAAGCUGGCAAAAAUCUGCUGGACGUGUACAGCUCUGCAGUGGUAUCUAAAGGAGUCUGGAGCUCAAAUCCCAUGAAGCAUUUUAGUCUGCUCUGAAACUCCCAGCUUAAUCAAAAGUGGAAAGCUCUGAUACAGCACGGAGAGAGAUGUGUCCUAGCAGUGCUGACACUGGCAGAGCCUGGUUUUAUGCUUGGCGAUGUAAAGUGUCCCAUCCAAUAUUUCAAAUGGAAUUUUCCAAAGGGAUCUAAUGAAGCCAAAGCAAGCACCAGUGCUGCAGGGCCUCCUGCAUCCCGAUGAGAGUUUUGCCUCAUCAGCAAGCACCAACGCAUCUGCUGUCAGCAGUGUUAGACCUGAUCCAUUCAUGGCGUGUCACCCUCUGGGAUAAAAAAAAUCAAGCUUGGGUCUCCUUCCAUCACGGAGUCUGUGUUGUGGUGUUGUUUGAAGGAGCUGUGGGAUGGGAUGGGGCAUCACCUGCUGCCACCCGUUGUGCUCUGGCUAAACCUGCACUCUGCUCCCUUGCAUCCUGUACAGGUAGCCAGGUGGGCACAUGUUCUGGAGGGCCAAGGCCUGGCAGCUCCCAGGGGCACCUCUGCAAAGCUGUUUUAAUGGACGUUUUUCAAGGUUUUCCAAGAAUUCAGUGAGUUUUUAAGUAGCUGCAAUUGUGUAGCCAUUGAUAAUGCAAGGUGAGGUGGGGAGGGAAGAUAAAAUGAUCCCACCAGAAAAUGAGACGGAGAGGUGCUUGCAUUUCACUCACUGUCACACCUUGCAACAGGAUGCUGCUCCGCAUGAGAUUCAGCAAGUUUCGGUGCCAGCCGUAGACCUGAGCACAACACAGAAGACCGUGGUUGUCUGAUCAGCGUGGCUGUGACUCGGGUAGGCAGCAGGCACAGCAGCAGGCAGAUGCUUUCCCCUCUGUUUGAAUGCACCAAGCUGUGGAGCAGCGCCUCAGCAUCUCUCCCAGGAGAACUCGCUCGGCACCAUGUCGUCUCCUUGCAGCGCUGGCUGGCAGCGAGCUGCCUCUGGAGAGGCAGGGCUGUGGUGCCAGAAGGGACAUCUGGCAGCGUGGUGGUGCAGCUCCCACUCGUGGGAAACAGGCCCAGAGGUUGGGAGCUCGUCAGGGGAUGUGUGAGCAUCCUCUGUGCCCGGGCUGUGAGCAUCCAGUGCUGGGAGUGCCAGCCCCAAAUGGACAAUCGGAAUUAUCAGAUGCGUUUGGUCCUCUUGGUUUUUAUCUUUAUGUUUUUCCCUGUGAAUUCCAGCUCUGCUGGCACAAUCUGAAUUCCACACUGCUUUGGAAAAGUAAAUGCGCUCAGAUUUUGCUCUGCAGAGAACUGUUGUCACCCAGCAGGUGUUUCUGUAUGCCAGCAUGUAACUUCUGUCUCCAAAUAAAAGAGAAAGUUCA